rnacentral:tRNA from 1 species
CGGGGAGUAGCUCAGUCUGGUUAGAGUACAGUGUUCGGAACGCUGGGGCCGGAGGUUCAAAUCCUCUCUCCCCGACCA